GACGUAGGGUGCGAGCGUUGUCCGGAAUUAUUGGGCGUAAAGAGCGUGUAGGCGGCCAGGUAGGUCUGCUGUGAAAACUCGAGGCUCAACCUCGAGACGUCGGCGGAAACCAUCUGGCUAGAGUCCGGAAGAGGAGAGUGGAAUUCCUGGUGUAGCGGUGAAAUGCGCAGAUAUCAGGAAGAACACCCGUGGCGAAGGCGGCUCUCUGGGACGGUACUGACGCUGAGACGCGAAAGCGUGGGGAGCGAACAGG
rnacentral:rRNA from 1 species